rnacentral:rRNA from 1 species
GCUCAGGACGAACGCUGGCGGCGUGCCUAAUACAUGCAAGUCGAACGCUUCUUUUUCCACCGGAGCUUGCUCCACCGGAAAAAGAGGAGUGGCGAACGGGUGAGUAACACGUGGGUAACCUGCCCAUCAGAAGGGGAUAACACUUGGAAACAGGUGCUAAUACCGUAUAACAAUCGAAACCGCAUGGUUUUGAUUUGAAAGGCGCUUUCGGGUGUCGCUGAUGGAUGGACCCGCGGUGCAUUAGCUAGUUGGUGAGGUAACGGCUCACCAAGGCGACGAUGCAUAGCCGACCUGAGAGGGUGAUCGGCCACAUUGGGACUGAGACACGGCCCAAACUCCUACGGGAGGCAGCAGUAGGGAAUCUUCGGCAAUGGACGAAAGUCUGACCGAGCAACGCCGCGUGAGUGAAGAAGGUUUUCGGAUCGUAAAACUCUGUUGUUAGAGAAGAACAAGGAUGAGAGUAACUGUUCAUCCCUUGACGGUAUCUAACCAGAAAGCCACGGCUAACUACGUGCCAGCAGCCGCGGUAAUACGUAGGUGGCAAGCGUUGUCCGGAUUUAUUGGGCGUAAAGCGAGCGCAGGCGGUUUCUUAAGUCUGAUGUGAAAGCCCCCGGCUCAACCGGGGAGGGUCAUUGGAAACUGGGAGACUUGAGUGCAGAAGAGGAGAGUGGAAUUCCAUGUGUAGCGGUGAAAUGCGUAGAUAUAUGGAGGAACACCAGUGGCGAAGGCGGCUCUCUGGUCUGUAACUGACGCUGAGGCUCGAAAGCGUGGGGAGCAAACAGGAUUAGAUACCCUGGUAGUCCACGCCGUAAACGAUGAGUGCUAAGUGUUGGAGGGUUUCCGCCCUUCAGUGCUGCAGCUAACGCA